CUCGAAGGACCUUCUGUAAGAAACCAGUAGCAGUGGCUUUCAAUCUAAACGAAUAGGGCUGCCUAGGGACAUAUCUUUGGAAGGAGCAUUCUGGCAAUAGUAGAGACACUGCUGAAUUCUAACAGUCUGUGGUGGGAGCUCUACAGGCAACUUACUCACUACUCUGACAAUUUUUUCCUAAGAGCAAAAAUAAACAAUGGGUUAUUCUUACUUUCUGAAUCCAAUUCUCCCUGUGCAACAAG